rnacentral:rRNA from 1 species
UACGUAGGGGGCUAGCGUUGUCCGGAAUCAUUGGGCGUAAAGAGCGCGUAGGCGGCUGGAAUAGUCCGGUGUGAAAUCCACAGGCUUAACCUGUGAAUGCCGCUGGAAACUGUCUGGCUAGAGUCCGGAAGGGGCGAGUGGAAUUCCUGGUGUAGCGGUGAAAUGCGCAGAUAUCAGGAGGAACACCAAUGGCGAAGGCAGCACUCUGGGACGUGACUGACGCUGAGACGCGAAAGCGUGGGGAGCAAACAGG